rnacentral:lncRNA from 1 species
UCUGUGACACAUAUUCUGCAGUCACAUUGUGGUGCUCUAAAAGAGUGCCGGUUUGCUCACAGCCAUGUUGCUCUAUUUUUGUGACAUGCCAUGGCUGACAUACCCCAGGCUUACGGCGAGCAAUAACUCUUCCGUGGCAACCCGCUUCGCGAUGGAUGCAUAUGACCUUCAACUCCUUUUUAUGAGACUACUUCACUUUUAUGUUGCC